rnacentral:rRNA from 1 species
UACGAAGGAUGCAAGCGUUAUCCGGAUUUAUUGGGUUUAAAGGGUGCGUAGGCGGACUUAUAAGUCAGUGGUGAAAUCUCGUUGCUUAACAACGAACGUGCCAUUGAUACUGUAGGUCUUGAGUAUAGAUGCCGUUGGCGGAAUGUGUCAUGUAGCGGUGAAAUGCAUAGAUAUGACACAGAACACCGAUUGCGAAGGCAGCUGACGAAACUGUAACUGACGCUGAGGCACGAAAGCGUGGGGAUCAAACAGG